rnacentral:rRNA from 1 species
UGCCAGCAGCCGCGGUAACACGAACUGUGCGAACGUUAUUCGGAAUCACUGGGCUUAAAGAGUGCGUAGGCGGUCUGGUAAGUUGGGUGUGAAAUCCCUCGGCUCAACCGAGGAAUUGCGCUCAAAACUACUCGGCUUGAGGGAGAUAGAGGUGAGCGGAACUGAUGGUGGAGCGGUGAAAUGCGUUGAUAUCAUCAGGAACACCGGUGGCGAAGGCGGCUCACUGGGUCUCUUCUGACGCUGAGGCACGAAAGCUAGGGGAGCGAACGGGAUUAGAUA